rnacentral:miRNA from 1 species
AUCACAUGUAACAGCAACUCCAUGUGGACUGUGUACAGAUUUCCAGUGGAGAUGCUGUUACUUUUGAU